AUUGAACGCUGGCGGAAUGCUUUACACAUGCAAGUCGAGCGGCAGCGCGGGGCAACCUGGCGGCGAGCGGCGAACGGGUGAGUAAUGCAUCGGAACGUGUCCAUGUCGUGGGGGAUAGCC
rnacentral:rRNA from 1 species